rnacentral:rRNA from 1 species
UGAAUACGAGAUGCUACGGCGUCGAAGCAGUCUAUGUCAUACUUCCAAGAAAAGCUCGCACUGUCAUAAACAAAUAAUGCCUGUACCAUAACCGACACAGGUGGGUAGGUAGAGUAUACUAAGGGGCGCGAGAUAACUCUCUCUAAGGAACUCGGCAAAAUGACUCCGUAACUUCGGGAGAAGGAGUGCCUUAUUUAUAAGGUUGCAAUAACAAGAUCCAAGCAACUGUUUAUCAAAAACACAGGUCUCCGCUAAGUCGUAAGACGAUGUAUGGGGGCUGACGCCUGCCCAGUGCCAGAAGGUUAAAGAAGUUGGUUAGCAUUCGCGAAGCUGAUAACUGAAGCCCUGGUGAACGGCGGCCGUAACGAUAACGGUCCUAAGGUAGCGAGAUUCCUUGUCGGGUAAGUUCCGACCCGCACGAAAGGCGUAAUGAUUUGGAUACUGUCUCGGAGAGGGGCUCGGUGAAAUAGACUUGUCUGUGAAGAUGCGGACUACCUGCACCAGGACAGAAAGACCCUAUGAAGCUUUACUGUAACUUGAGAUUGAAAUUGGACUUUACUUGCGCAGUAUAGGUGGGAGGCGUUGAUAAUAUUCUUGCGGGAUUAUUUGAGCCAUCAGUGAGAUACCACUCUUGUAAUGUUAGAUUUCUAACUUUGUAUCAUUAUCUGGUCAAAGGACAGUUUCAGGCGGGCAGUUUGACUGGGGCGGUCGCCUCCUAAACGGUAAUGGAGGCGCACAAAGGUUUCCUCUGAACGGGUAGAAAUCGUAUCUAGAGUGUAAAGGCAUAAGGAAGCUUGACUGUGAGACCUACAAGUCGAGCAGGGACGAAAGUCGGUCUUAGUGAUCUGACGGUGCUGAGUGGAAAGGCCGUCACUCAACGGAUAAAAGUUACUCUAGGAUAACAGGCUGAUCUCCCCCAAGAGUUCACAUCGACGGGGAGGUUUGGCACCUCGAUGUCGGCUCAUCGCAUCCUGGGGCGGUAGUACGUCCCAAGGGUUGGGCUGUUCGCCCAUGAAAGCGGUACGCGAGCUGGGUUCAGAACGUCGUGAGACAGUUCGGUCCACAUCCGGUGUAGGCGUUAGAAUAUUGAGAGGAGCCUUCUUUAGUACGAGAGGACCGAGAAGGACAUACCUCUGGUGUACCAGUUAUCGUGCCAACGGUAAACGCUGGGUAGCUAUGUAUGGAGUGGAUAACCGCUGAAAGCAUCUAAGUGGGAAGCCCACCUCAAGAUAAGUAUUCUCA